UCUCUCUGCAGGGAUCAUCUAAGGGGCCCAUUGAAUGAAGGCUGCGUUUAUAUUGAAGUGCAUGUGCUAGUACAUGUCUGACAGUCGGCUCUGGCUCCUGCACUUUUGCUUUGCCUCCUUUGAUGUGGACACACCAUGAUGGGCCAUCCUUUGCCAGCUUCUCCCACUCUCACAAUCAACUCCAAAGUUCUUCAGAGAGACCUUGACAGUGUCCUUGUAUCACUUCUUCUGACCUCCAGCAUACUCAGCUUCCCAUUUCCACACUCAUGCCUUUCUCCAUGGAAUCAUUUUAGUUUCACUCCCUACCUUGUCAAGAUGAACAAGCCCAGUACGUGGAAGACAAAAGAAAGUGGGAGCUCUUUCAGCAUGUGAACAAUAUAGCUAAUACUCUAUCAGUC